AACGAACGCUGGCGGCAUGCCUAACACAUGCAAGUCGAACGAGACCUUCGGGUCUAGUGGCGCACGGGUGCGUAACGCGUGGGAACCUGCCCUUAGGUUCGGAAUAACUCCCCGAAAGGGGUGCUAAUACCGGAUAAUGUCUUCGGACCAAAGAUUUAUCGCCCUUGGAUGGGCCCGCGUUGGAUUAGCUAGUUGGUAGGGUAAAAGCCUACCAAGGCGACGAUCCAUAGCUGGUCUGAGAGGAUGACCAGCCACACUGGGACUGAGACACGGCCCAGACUCCUACGGGAGGCAGCAGUGGGGAAUAUUGGACAAUGGGCGAAAGCCUGAUCCAGCAAUGCCGCGUGAGUGAUGAAGGCCUUAGGGUUGUAAAGCUCUUUUACCCGGGAUGAUAAUGACAGUACCGGGAGAAUAAGCUCCGGCUAACUCCGUG
rnacentral:rRNA from 1 species